UUGACAGAAACAGAAAAUAUUAAAAGAUAAAAGAUGUGUUAAGUAAGAAAGACACAGAGAACCUUAUUAUAAACAUGAGUGUGUCACCCAAGAUAUUGUUUUAGGCUCAGCCCCUGUCACAUUUUUAACAACAACAACGGCUCUUAAAUCCCAUCGGAAUUUUCUUUAAGUGCAGUCACAUGUGAUUAAAAACAGAUAUUAUUUCUUCUGCAAUGAAAGUGAGGCGUGUCAGCCACUUGAGCGUACCAACAGAAAAUAUAGCACUAAUUUUAGCCAAUCGAAAACCACAGACAUAUCGGUGCCAGUUUCCAUAGUAACAAAUCAAGCUAUCACGCAGAAAAUGCCGGCUUUUCAAGUCCUACUUCAUUAUUGGAUGAAUAUAAUCAAACUUUAAGCCUCUAUAACAUUUUUCUGAAAC